rnacentral:rRNA from 1 species
UAAUGAGAGUUUGAUCCUGGCUCAGGACGAACGCUGGCGGCGUGCUUAACACAUGCAAGUCGAACGGUAACAGGAAUUAGCUUGCUAAUUUGCUGACGAGUGGCGGACGGGUGAGUAAUGCUUGGGAAUCUGGCUUAUGGAGGGGGAUAACUACGGGAAACUGUAGCUAAUACCGCGUAAAAUCUUCGGAUUAAAGGGUGGGACUUUCGAGCCACCUGCCAUAAGAUGAGCCCAAGUGGGAUUAGGUAGUUGGUUAGGUAAAGGCUGACCAAGCCGACGAUCUCUAGCUGGUCUGAGAGGAUGACCAGCCACACUGGAACUGAGACACGGUCCAGACUCCUACGGGAGGCAGCAGUGGGGAAUAUUGCGCAAUGGGGGCAACCCUGACGCAGCCAUGCCGCGUGAAUGAAGAAGGCCUUCGGGU